UCCUCAUUUAAAUUCCAGUUAUCCAGGGAGGAAGGUAUCAUGAGUAAUCCCAUUUUAUAGAUGUGGAGGCUGAGGCUAAGACAGGGAAUGCAACACACCCAGGGUCACACAGCCAGCAAGAACUUGAUGGGAAUUGGAACCCAGGCUAGCAGAUUCCAAAGCUGGUGCCCUUCACCCAUCAGCUCUCUUGACUGCUAAGGUUUUCCUCUCUUGUUUCUGCAGACUGCAGCCUGGUGGGUGUGUCUGCAGCCUGGGGUGUGUCUGCAGCCUGGUGGGUGUCUCCAGCUGUCCUUUAACUUCUCCAUUUCCCUCAGUUCCCUGGGAAGGUUCAGGGUGGUGGGCUUGCCUUUCAGGAUGCCUUUCAUCGUCAGGGCCCCUGUGUCCACUGCUGUGACAUUUGGUGAGGAACAGCUCCCUUCCUGGAGCCAAAGAGCAUUCAUUGUCUGGCCACAGGAAAAGCACGCCACAUGUCCCCUGACGACCUGAAGAUGAAUCCUGACUGCCUGGACAUGCCUGGGCGGGUGUACCCAUGGCCUGUGGUUGAACCAGCCACACCUUGUCUCUUGGCCAGAGGCUGCCCUGAGGCUGAGGGCUGUGAGUCCUGGGAUCUGCUGGGGAAGUCCAAGGCAUAUCGCACCAGCUGCCCCUAGCUGCUGCCUGCAGCUGGAGGCCACAGGCCCCCCAUGUUGAAGAAGUGUCACCUUCAAAGGGAGGUCACCAUGCAGCAGCAUCAUGGCUGGAAAGGACCAGAGUGAGUGAGAGCCAGCAUCGCUGUUUCUGAUCCACCAGUGACCUGCUACACAGAAAUGGCAAGUUAUUUCUCUCCUCUGGAUCUCAGAUUUCUCACCCUUAAAUAAAAGGGCACGCAGUGGCAUGGAACCACGCUGACACCUAUCACUGUUAAACGAGGCCAGGACACAGUCUGAUCUCCAUCUCCACUUUUUGUUGUUGUUAAAUGAAACGGAAGAGCAUCUCCCUGCAGAAGUAAACCACGCACAGAGCCCUAAUGACAUCAUUGCUUCAGCCCCUGGAUCCAGCCAGGCCUGAAGCAGGAUAACCCUGGACUUCCCAGUGAGGUGAGCCAACCCUAUCUCCAAAUAAAGCCAUAUCCUGCAGUAUUGUUGGGUAAGGCUUCAACAUAUGAAUUUUGGGCAGAUAGAGCACUCUGGCCAGGGCACCUGGAGACCCAGGGACUACAGAGUCAUGCGACCUUCCUCGGCCUUCAUUUCCUCAUCUGCAAAAUGGGAGAGGCAAUCCCUGGUCUGCCUCCUUCACGGGAUUGGGUACGGAUGGGAUAAAGGAAGCAGAGUGGCAUUGCUAGGGCCUGACAGG
rnacentral:lncRNA from 10 species